rnacentral:piRNA from 1 species
AUGAAAGAGGACAGUGACAGCAGA